UACGUAGGGUGCGAGCGUUAAUCGGAAUUACUGGGCGUAAAGCGUGCGCAGGCGGUGAUGUAAGACCGAUGUGAAAUCCCCCGGGCUUAACCUGGGAACUGCAUUGGUGACUGCAUUGCUGGAGUAUGGCAGAGGGGGGGUGGAAUUCCACGUGUAGCAGUGAAAUGCGUAGAGAUGUGGAGGAACACCGAUGGCGAAGGCAGCCCCCUGGGCCAAUACUGACGCUCAUGCACGAAAGCGUGGGGAGCAAACAGG
rnacentral:rRNA from 1 species